GAGUUUGAUCCUGGCUCAGAAUGAACGCUGGCGGCGUGGAUUAGGCAUGCAAGUCGAGCGCGAAAGUCGCCUUCGGGUGGCGAGUAGAGCGGCGAACUGGUGAGUAACAGGUGGGUAACGUGCCCUGAAGUGGGGAAUAAGCCGGGGAAACCCGGUCUAAUACCGCAUGGGACCGGAAGGACCCUGGUUGGUCCGGUUAAAGGCUUCGGUCGCUUUGGGAUCGGCCCGCCCCCGGAUAUGCUUGAUGGUGAGGUAACGGCUCACCAUGGCUACGAUCGGUAGCUGGUCUGAGAGGAUGGUCAGCCACACUGGGACUGAGAUACGGCCCAGACUCCUACGGGGGGCAGCAGUCUAGAGGCUUCGGCAAUGGGGGAAACCCUGACCGAGCGACGCCGCGUGCGGGAUUGAAGGCCUUCGGGUCGUAAACCGCUGUCAGGAGGGAAGAAUGCCCCGAUGGUGAAUCGGGGAGAGACGGUACCUUUACAGAAAGCCCCGGCUAACUCCGUGCCAGCAGCCGCGGUAAUACGGAGGGGGCAAACGUUGUUCGGAUUCACUGGGCGUAAAGGGAGUGCAGGCGGCUUGCUAAGUCCUGUGUGAAAGCCCGCGGCUCAACCGCGGAAAGCCAUAGGAUACUGACGAGCUAGAGACGGGUAGAGGCGAGUGGAAUUCCCGGGGUAGCGGUGGAAUGCGGAGAUAUCGGGAGGAACACCAGUGGCGAAGGCGGCCCCCUGGUCCGAGACUGACGCUGAGACGCGAAAGCGUGGGUAGCAAACAGGCUUAAUACCCUGGUAGUCCACGCCGUAAACGAUGGGCACUAGGUGCUGGGGAGUGUGACCUUUUCGGUGCCGUAGCUAACGCGUUAAGUACCCCGCCUGGGGAGUGCGGCCGCAAGGUUAAAACUCAAAGGAAUUGACGGGGGCCCGCACAAGCGGUGGAGCAUGUGGUUCAAUUCGACGCAACGCGAAGAACCUUACCUGGGCUUGACAUGCUAGGGAACUCGGGUGGAAACAUCCGGGGCCCUUCGGGGCUCUAGCACAGGUGCUGCAUGGCUGUCGUCAGCUCGUGUCGUGAGAUGUUGGGUUAAGUCCCGCAACGAGCGCAACCCUUACCUGUAGUUGCCAGCGGAUCAUGCCGGGGACUCUACAGGGACUGCCGGUGAUAAACCGGAGGAAGGUGAGGAUGACGUCAAGUCAUCAUGGCCCUUACGCUCAGGGCGACACACGUGCUACAAUGGUCGGUACAGUGGGCUGCAAUCCCGCGAGGGUGAGCCAAUCCCAAAAAGCCGGCCUAAGUUCGGAUCGGAGUCUGCAACUCGACUCCGUGAAGCCGGAAUCGCUAGUAAUCGCGGAUCAGCCAUGCCGCGGUGAAUACGUUCCCGGGCUUUGUACACACCGCCCGUCACGCCAUGGAAGCUGGGGGGACCCGAAGUCAGUGGCCCAACCCUUCGGGGAGGGAGCUGCCGAAGGUCAAUCCGGUGACUGGGGCGA
rnacentral:rRNA from 1 species